GACGAACGCUGGCGGCGUGCUUAACACAUGCAAGUCGAGCGGUAAGGCCCUUUCGGGGGUACACGAGCGGCGAACGGGUGAGUAACACGUGGGUGACCUGCCCUUGGCUCUGGGAUAAGCCUGGGAAACUGGGUCUAAUACCGGAUAUGACUCCAUGACGCAUGUUGUGGGGUGGAAAGCCUUGUGCGGCUAGGGAUGGGCCCGCGGCCUAUCAGCUUGUUGGUGGGGUGAUGGCCUACCAAGGCGACGACGGGUAGCCGGCCUGAGAGGGCGACCGGCCACACUGGGACUGAGACACGGCCCAGACUCCUACGGGAGGCAGCAGUGGGGAAUCUUGCGCAAUGGGCGAAAGCCUGACGCAGCGACGCCGCGUGGGGAUGACGGCC
rnacentral:rRNA from 1 species